UUCCCCAACUUCUUCCCAUAAAUCGAUGAUUUGCAAGGUCUUCCAUACAAAGCCUCAUAGGGUGCCAUUUGAAUGUUAGACUGAUAGUUAUUAUUAUACGCGAACUCAAUCAGAGGCAAAUGAUCAUCCCAAUUACCUUGUAACUUAAUGACGGAAGCUCGUAGUAUUCUAGACUUUAGAAUUUUCAUUAUGAUUGACCAUCCAUCUGAGGAUGGAAAGAUGUACUAAAAGAUAGUUUGGUCUCCAUAGCAUUCUAUAGAC
rnacentral:lncRNA from 1 species